rnacentral:rRNA from 1 species
GAUGAACGCUAGCUACAGGCUUAACACAUGCAAGUCGAGGGGAAACGACAUCGAAAGCUUGCUUUUGAUGGGCGUCGACCGGCGCACGGGUGAGUAACGCGUAUCCAACCUGCCCACCACUUGGGGAUAACCUUGCGAAAGUAAGACUAAUACCCGAUGAUAUCUCUAGACGACAUCUGAAAGGGAUUAAAGAUUUAUCGGUGAUGGAUGGGGAUGCGUCUGAUUAGCUUGUUGGCGGGGUAACGGCCCACCAAGGGCGACGAUCAGUAGGGGUUCUGAGAGGAAGGUCCCCCACGUUGGAACUGAGACACGGUCCAAAACUCCUACGGGAGCAGCAGUGAGAAUAUUGGUCAAUGGGCGAGAGCCUGAACCAGCCAAGUAGCGUGCAGGAUGA